CUGCACUGGGAGAGGAACAAGGCUGUCCUGCUGCCUCUGCUCAUGGGGCCUGCUUGCCAUCUCUUGGCACCUUUUCUAUGAGAUUCCGCCAACCCUGAAGGCUCCUCUACUGAAGCUCUGACCGCAGUCCUCUUGUCAUCAGGGUGAGGUGCUUUUUCCCCCCAUCUCCUUCCUGGCUGGAGAGAGGAGCAAGAUAAGUCCAAGCAUCAGCAAAUCUUCCCAUGUCACGUGGGAAGAUGCCUGUUGAGGCCAUGUCACUUGGGGAGCUGGCAGGGAGAAGGUAGUGGACAAGAUUGUGUUGCUCCCAUAAAAUGGUCCCCAAGCUCCUGGACACAAGCCUCAAUCCAUCCUGGGGAGAAUCCUAGGCCAGGUACCUGUCCCUGCCCAUGUGUGGACUUGCUGUGCAACUCAGGUUCAAAUCCUGCAACAAGAGAAUCCGACUAGCCAAGUCCAGUGCUUUCCCAGCUCAUACACCUCACAGGUGCACACACCUGGCCCAGUCAGCUGUG